AGAGAUGUUGGCUCUCAUAGAACCUGUAGCAACGAAGAAGAAUGUGGUUCUAGAUAAAUUAGAUAACAGAAUAACUGAACAAGUGAAAAAUAACGCCUGGGAGAGUGUAGCUACGGAGGUGAAUCUUGUCGCUUGCGUACAGAGGAAUGUGAAUGAAGUGCGUAGGAAGUUCACAAACCUAAGAGCAGCCGUGAAGGAAAAGGCAGCACAAGAGAGAGAGAGAGAGAGAGAAAAAAAAAAAAAAAAAAAAAAACACACACGGGAGGAACAGGUGGUGGCCCAGCAGUUCUGACAAACUACAGUCCUGUUGAAGAAGCUAUGUUAACACUGAUUGAGCCUGUUGCUAUUACUGGCUUACUAGGGGUUUUAUGAAAAUGAGACAGAAGUUGAUGAUGUUACAGAACCAACUCCUGGGCCAUCUGGGACAGCAUCUCAGAUCAUAACAGACUCAGCAGUUAUUGUAACAUUGGAUGAGGGAACUUCAGCAGAGCAAGAAAUGACAAUACCCAUUGUGUCAAUGGACCACAUCCUCAGAAUUACCUCCUUUUUUAAUAGAACACAGUAACACUCAGGAUGGAUUUAGUGCAACAGUCCAACAAGCAGAGCACUUUCAAGAACAGAGCAUCUCAGCUUGAGUCAGGAGGAGGUAGUAGGCUUGAGGUAGUGCAUGGUCAAAAAAGCAGAUCAGAAGAAAGGAGAAUUUUGCCUGACAUGCUUCAGGUACAAACAAAUAUAGAAAGUCACCUGAAACAGCUUGUAAGCUCAGUGAAGGACACUGCAUCAGCAUUACAAAUAAUUGCUGGUGCUAUGAAAGAUAAGGCGUGCGUUCCAUGCAAUACUAGUCUUAAUCUACUCAGUUAUAGUACACAGUUGACAUUAAUUUGUGAUAGGCAUUUGUGGUCAUAAUGCACCAUGA